UGGACCUGCAUAUAAAGCAAGAGCCCAGCACAGGGACUGCAGACCACGGCAAGAUCUCCAGGUGAAAAGACAGAAACUCCCUCCAACUAUGAAGACCGUGGCCAUCUUGCUCUGCGUGGUCGCUGGCGCCGCUGCGUUCCCGCAGGGCUAUUUCCCAGGUCUGUUUGGUCAGAACAGCCAGGCGACCGGAAGUGCCGCCGGCAAUGUGGUGUCUGGGGUCAGCGGCGGUCCCUUCCAGAACUCCCGGAUCACACAAGUCAGCGCCACCGCCUCGGGUGCGGCAAGAGGCAAUGCGAUCAGUAGAAAUGCUGCCAGCGCCUCUGACUUCGGCUCUUCGGGACUGUUCGGAAACAAGAGGUUCUCGAACACCAAUGCCGUCUCCAACCAGCAGACGUUUGGCGGAGGCUUUGGUGGUUUCCAGCGGCCUUUUGGCAACGGAUACCAGCAGUAUCCCAGCCAGAGCUACGUCUAUUGACAGUCCCCUGGUGCGGGAUUCGGUUGACGUGUACCUCAUAAGUUCCGAACGCUUUGGCAGCCAAAGCGUGACCAUUACACUUGCUGAGGUCAGCAAAACGUCUUCUUGUCGACUCCUUCCCGCAGGUUUGUAUUACAUCACAUCGCUCAACGCGCAGUGCAAACAAAUUUGCAGAAAUUGAUGACUUGUGACACGGUAUGAGGGCUCCCUUUUGUGAUGUCUCAUAUGAAGGUUACUGCCAUUCUGAGUGUCAAACGUUUAAGAUCGAUUGCCCUGUUGGCACUCGACUGAUGUAUGCGGGGAGGAAUAA